CACCUUUCAGCAGGGAAGGUCUAGGCUCGCACAUCGAUAAAAAACGCUGCGA
rnacentral:rRNA from 1 species